rnacentral:rRNA from 1 species
UACGGAGGAUCCGAGCGUUAUCCGGAUUUAUUGGGUUUAAAGGGAGCGUAGGUGGAUUGUUAAGUCAGCGGUAAAAAUUCGGGGCUCAACCCCGUCCGGCCGUUGAAACUGGGGGCCUUGAGUGGGCGAGAAGUAUGCGGAAUGCGUGGUGUAGCGGUGAAAUGCAUAGAUAUCACGCAGAACCCCGAUUGCGAAGGCAGCAUACCGGUGCACAACUGACGCUCAGGCACGAAAGCGUGGGUAUCGAACAGG